CACCCGUGGCAUAUGAAGGUUCCCAGGCUAGAGGUCCAAUCAGAGCUGUAUCUGCCUACCUAUACCACAGCCACAGCAACACCAGAUCUAAGCAGCAUCCGUGACCUAUACCAUAGCUCAUGGCAAUGCCAGAUCUUUAACCCACUGAGCAAGGCCAGGUAUUGAACCUGUGUCCUCAUGGAUACUAGUUGGGUUUAUUACCUCUGAGACACAACUGGAACUCCUCAGAUUGCUUCUUGACCUUCAACCCCACAUUGCAUCCUUUAGGUUCUAAUGAUACUACCUCCAAAGUAGGUAUUUGUUAUAUGGAUCUCCCUCCAUCCACACUGCACCAUUCUUACCCUCUUCAUCUCUUUCAUUUAGAGUACUCUCCCUGGGUUCACCCUCUCUAACCCUCUACUCCAUUUCCUAAGAUCCUACAGAAUUGGAGUCAUUGCCUACAAAAUAAAAAUUAAGCUCAGUUGCCUGUCACUAAAGGUACUUGGUGAUCUGAUCCUUGUCUGUGUCACCUUACCUCCCACCACUUCCUUUUCUUUUCUAUUUCCACUUUUAUUCUCCAAGAACAUUGAAUAUUUGUAUUUCCAGAAACAUGCCUUGUUUGCACUGUUGUGCCUUGUUCCUUGUGGAAUACCAGCUGCUAGGCAAUGUUCUAUGUAGAUCAUAUGACUGCACUAGUGAGUUGAUGGGUAAAUAAAUAAAUGUAUUGUUGUCCUUCUUGGUUGCAAUUUUUCAGUCUGAAAUAGUAUGUAUUUUGUUCUCCUAAAUGAACCUUAGAUACAUGAACCAUUUAAAUAAUUAUGUAUGGGCACUGUGUUAUGCCCUUGAAUAACAAGGACAAAUCACUUACAGUCAUUGCCUAGCACUACAGUAUACAAUAUUCAGAACAAGUUAGAAAUUUAAAAUAUCUUAUUUAAGGUCAUAGUACAUAGAAUGAUACAUUGGUUAUUGGUACCUGGUGUGAAACAAUAAUCUGAUAAAUAUUUGAAAAGAAGAAGGAAGGAAAGGAAGUAAGAAAGAAAGAGAAGGAAAGAGACAGAGAAAUACUUGGUUUUCAAAAGUCCAAGAGGUAUGAUAUUCUCACAUAUUUUUAACCCAAAACCCCUUUUACAGAUAAUAUUUUAUAAGCAACCCAGUAUAUAUUAUUCUACUAGGUCUACAUAUACUUAUUGAUCACUUGGUAAUAAUACUUGGACUGUGUUAGGUGAUAGAGAUAUAACAAAGAACAAGAUCUCUGUCCUCUUGGAACUUGAAGAUAGAUAAUAAACAAGAGAAAUGUUCAAAUAGUAUUAGUCAUACAAACAUGACAUGACAGGAUACUCUCACUGAGACAGAGUGCAGCCACUUUUGAUACACUGAUUGAGACAGACUCUGUGGGAGUUCCCAUUAUGGCGCAGAGGAAAUGUAUCUGACUAGGAUCCAUGAGGACUCAGGUUUGAUCCCUGGCUUCGCUCAGUGGGUUAAGGAUCCCAUGUUGCCAUGAGCUAUGGUGUAGGUCGCAGAUAUGGCAUGGAUCUGGUGUUGCUGUGGCUGUGUUGUCAGCCAGCAGCUGCAGCUCUGAUUCGACCCCCAGCCUGGGAACUUCCAUAUGCUGCCUGGAUGCAGCCCUCAAAAAAUGAAAACAAACAAACAUAUCCUCUCAGGACAUUGGCCUUGGCAAUGGCAACAUCUUUUUUUUUUUUGGAUUCACAACAAAUUCAAAAUCAACAAAAGCAAAAAUGAACAUGUAGGAUUACCUCAAACUAAAAAACUUCUUCACAACAAACAAAACUGUGGAUAAAAUGAAAAGGCAACCUAUGGAAAGGGAAAAAAAUAUUUACAAAUCAUCUAUCUGAUAAGCGGUUAUUAUCCAAAAUGUAUAAGAAACUCAUACAACUCAAAACUAAAAUAAAAACAAAAACCAAUAAUCUAAUUUUUUAAAAAAGAAAGAAGAUCUAAAUAAGCAUUUUUCCAAAGACGAAAUACAAAUGGCCAACAGGUACAUGCAAAGGGGCUCAACAGUCCUCACAGAAAUGUACAUCAAAACCACAAUGAGAUAUCACUUCACACCUAUUAUUUUAGAAUGGCUGUCAUCAAAAAGACAAGAGAUAACAAAUUUGGGUAAGGAUGUGGAGAAAAGGGAAUCCUCAUGCUUUGCUGGUGGGAAUGUAAAUUGUACAGUCGCAAUGGAAAACAGUAUGGAGAUUCCUCCAAAGUUAAAAAAGAACUACCACAUGAUCCAGCAAUCCACUUUUGGGGUAUGUAUCUAAAAGAAAUGAAAAUAGGAUAUUGAAGAGAUUUCUACACUCAUGUGUUCACAGAAACAUCGUUCACAGUAGCCAAGACGGCAAAACAAUCUAAGUGUUCACUGAUGAAUGAAUGGCUAAAGAUGCGAUACACACACACACACACACACACACACACACAGAGUGGAACAUUAUUCUACCAUGAGGGUGAAGAAAAUUCUGCCAUUUACAAAUUUACAACAUGGAUGAAACUUAAGGGCAUUGUGUUAAGUGAUAUAAGCUAGAAAGAGAAAGACAAAUACUACAGGGUAUGAUGUAUAAUACAUGGAGUCUUAAAAAUAUGUAUAUUAAAAUUAAAACUCACAGAAACAGAGAAUAGAAAAAUGAUUACCAGGGACUAAGUGGGUGGAGAAAAUAGGGAGAGGGUGGUAAAAGGUACAAUUUUUAGCUAUAAGAGGAAUAAAGUCUGACAGUCUAAUGUACAGUAUGGUGAGUUGACAGUAAAAGUUGAUAGUACUUUAUUGCAUAAUUGAAAUUUACUAAAAGUGGAACUUAAAUGUUUUUACCAAAGGAAGGAAGGAAGGAAGAAAGAAAGAAAGGAAAGACGGUUGAAAGAAAGAAAGGAUAAAUAACAUGAGGUGAUGGAUGAGUUAAAUGACUACAUGGUGGGAAUCUUUUCACAAUGUAUAGAUGUAUCAAGUCAUCACAAUGUACACUUUAAAUAUCUUACAAUUUUAUUUAUUGAUUUACACCUCAAUAAAGCUGAAAAAAACAAACAUUUCCUGAGUACCUAUUAUGUGCCCAUCACUGAACUUAGUGAUAGAGAUACAAAAAUGAAAAACAUGGUUCUUGUCUUACUAUACAACGCAGUGAGACGGACAAGCAUAAUGACAUACUUUUAGAAUUAUACAUUAACUGCUAAAGUAGGAAUAUUGAAAACCUGGGGUGAGGAUCAAUUAUCCCAGGCUGGUGUUUGGGGAAGUUUUCCUAGAAGAGGUAAUACCUAAGUUUUGAGUUAAUCAGGCUAAGAAGGGAGCUCUGUGUAUAUAAGCUAAAAAAAUUUUAAAAAGACACAUUUUCAUAUAGAAGAGUACAAGGAAGUUCUUUCAAGUCAACAAUAUUACUAAAGCUUAAAAUAUGAACGUAGGACCAGUGGGAAAUGGGAUUUGAGACAUAAAUAAGAAACAGAUCAGGAAAGGUUUCAAGGCCAUUUCAAGCUGUUCAAACACUGUGCUGAGGUCAAUUAAAAGCCAUUGAUGGAUAAUAAAGAGAAAACUGGACCUAGUCAGAUAUGCAAUUUAAACAGAUCUCUGGCAGCUGAUGGGGAACAUCUUGGACAUAUUUUUUUCCCUAGCUACUAUUCUGGAAGAGAACUGCUUUUCUUGAAAUGCCAAACCUCUUCUGAAUACUUUAAAUAGCUUUUAACCAUGAUUGAUUAAUUUUAAAGGGAAUUACCUAAUAUUUUCCUUAUAGUCUCCAACAUAUUUUAUUUUCCAAAUUGAUUUUAUGGUUUACAUGGAAUAAUGGCAGAGAGAGAGAAUAUAAAAGUGGUUUGCAGGCUGCCUUAUUAGCCAGACAUUCUGCUAACAGAAGCCUGAGAUGUCCUUAGUUUUCUAAUAUGACACAUUUCUUAGACUCCAAGGCAGCAGUGAAUUCAUCCGACCCAGAUAUGACAGGGGAUCCUCUCUGAUGAGUAUUUGCAAUCUUUUUGCCUCUUUCCUUGAAAACCUUUACUCCUCUUCUGAUUUGACUAUGUAAUUGGCAAUUAAAUGGAAAAACCAUACCUUCUUAAAACUCUUAUGGAUUAUAAAUUUUGCAUUUCUUUUAUCUGAUGAUGUCCACUGCCUUCUUACACAUUUACUUACUAGUCCAGUGACCUUCAGGCAAGGCACAGAAGCACUGCUCUCUGUUCCAGGCAGCAUCCAGCCAUGGUAAGGAAGUUUCAGCUGCAUGCUUAAGUAUCUGUAUUAGGCCCUAAAUAGAUCUCCUAUCUGAUAACUUCUAAUACCUUCAUAAUCUUGAAAAGUCUUAGUCAAUAUUGAUAUGCAGGUUUCACUGAUACUAUAAAUCCAUUAUUCAACUACAAUCCCAUUCACCUUACCCAUCACUGAAGUAUUCUUUUAAGAACUUAUUCUGCCACCCUGUCUUCAUAAUUAGGCACAGAGGCUAAUGAAAACAUGGUAUAGUUUGUGAGUAUAUUUCUCUGAAGAUCCAAGGAAUUUUUUCUUCUUCAACAUUUAAUUAUUGAUUAUUUUCACACUAAAGGCUAACUUAUUGAGCAUCUGCAUAGUUUUAUGCAGAUGGAAAUAAAUAAAAUUGAGGGGUUAAUCUUUAAAUUUUGUCUUUGUUUCCUCUAUUGUCCUUUUCCAUUAUUUGCUGUUCCUCACCAUUUGCUGUUUCCCACCUUCCUCUAUAAGAAAACCAUUAAAUCUCAUUGAUACCAUUGUUUCUCCUCCAAUCUAGGCCAAUUAUGCUUUUCCCUACAAGAAAAAAAACUACCUCAUUUGCAUGAAUGUAUUCAUAUUCACCUAUUUAUUUGUUCCUUCAUUAUUUCAUUCAUUUAUUGAAUUAUUAAGCCAUCCUCCUCUCUAAUCAAUACUUGAAAGAUGAUCUGUUAGCACUGAAAGGCCCUGGGCUAGGCAACAGGUACCCAGAUGGAAGCAGAUCCUAACUGUGUAAUUAACUGUCUGGAUCCAGAUCAUUUAACCUCUUUAGACCUUGGUUUACUCAUCUAAACAUGGAACGGAUUAAAUCAGUAGCCACUUGUCUUAUUUAGGUCAUAGGCCUCUUGCAGAAUCUGAUGACUAUGAACUUUCUCUCCAGAAAAGAAAAGUUGCUCGUAUCCAGAUACCUGUAAAAUUUUUGCAUUUGAUUUUUUGAGACUCAUGGAGUUUUAAAACCUGUGUAUGAAUACUUGGGAGACUCCUAGGCUCCUGGUUAGGAACCACUGAAGUACAUGGUCUCCCCCUUUGGAGUUCCAGAGAGCCUUGCUACACAAGUGUAGUUCACAAAGGAGCAUUUACCUGGGAGUUCCCUAGAAGUCCCAGGUCCUGCCUCAGACCUACAAAAUAAGACUUUGCAUUUUAACAGUAACUUCAAGGAAUUUAUAUGGACAUUAACGUUUGAGAAGCACAGCUAUUAAGUUUGGUUUAAAUACAUUUCAUGUAGAAGCAGAAAGGAAGAUAAUAAUGAUUGUUAGAAUGGAUUAGAAGUGCUUUCCUCUUUCCUGUCUCUUUCAUGAUGUCUCAAAAUACAGAUAAACCAUAGCAAAGAUUUUUAAUCACAGACUUGGAUCCAUGGAUGAACUGAACAGCCUUCCAUUGAAAUAAGCUUUAGAUAAUGCAUUUUGUUUUAUUCAUGGAAGAAGCAUUUAUUUACGUUAUGAUGGUUCUGUUAAUGAUAAUCAUGAUUAAAUACAUACGGUAUUUGGGGAAGCUAUCACCACUAAUGGCCCCACUAACAAAAUAGGAAGAGAAAAACCAAAAAGUUAGUUCGGCUCUAUAAAAGUAAUUCUUAAUGUACAGUCAUUUAUGUGAAUGACUUAACAUUUAUGCCUGAUAAUUAUGCAGUAUAAUAAUAUUAUGCUAAUCCUUAGACAGAUGCAAUGUUUCAGAUUAACAUAGCUGUAGGUCUUAUUUAAUUAUAGCAGCAAUCUUAGAGAUACAUUUUGUCUUCAUAAUUUGUUACUCUUGCAGCAUGGAAAUCUAUUCAGAACCUUUCCAAAUUAGGGCAAAUAUUAGUUUAAAAAUAACAUAUAAAAUUCAUUUUUUAUCUAAAGCCAUUUAGUAUUUAUA
rnacentral:lncRNA from 1 species